rnacentral:lncRNA from 10 species
GCUCCGGUAGAUUGCAAAUGACCUGCUUUCUUUCUGUUCCCGGGCGGCAUCGGACCCGUCGGAGAGUAAAUCCCAAGUAAGGUACCUGCCGUUGGCAGAUUUGAGCUUUCUUCUUGGACACCUAAUACCCACAGUCCUCCAGGCUCCGGUAGAUUGCAAAUGACCUGCUUUCUUUCUGUUCCCGGGUGGCAUCGACCCGUCGGAGAGUAAAUCCCAAGUAAGGUACCUGCCGUUGGCAGAUUUGAGCUUUCUUCUUGGACACCUAAUACCCACAGUCCUCCAGGCUGCGUUCGGACCCCUGUCGGAUAGUAAAUCCCAAGCAAGGUACCUGCCGUCAGCAGAUUUGAGCUUUCUUCUUGGACACCUAAUACCCACAGUCCUCCAGGCUCCGGUAGAUUGCAAAUGACCUGCUUUCUUUCUGUUCCCGGGCUGCGUUCGGACCCCUGUCGGAUAGUAACUCCCAAGUAAGGUACCUGCCGUCGGCAGAUUGGAGCUUUCUUCUUGGAGACCUAAUACCCACAGUCCUCCAGGCUCCGGUAGAUUGCAAAUGACCUGCUUUCUUUCUGUUCCCGGGCUGCGUUCGGACCCCUGUCGGAGAGUAAAUCCGAAAAAAACAAACAAAGACAUGGAUUUACUGUGCAUAUUAGCAGAUCCAUACUGGAAAAUGCAUGGAGGUUUCAUAUACACCACUUACAGAUGCAGAAAGGCAGUGAACUCCUCCGGAGUAGCUGUCAGGUCACCAUUGAGGUCUGCAGCUUUGAAUCUUCUCUCAUCACGUGGCAGCAUCUUUUUAAAGGUGUGAUGAUCUGAAGAAUCA